ensembl:lncRNA
CUCAAGCCAACGUCUCAUUGACAUCAAAUACUGAUGUUUUGUCGUCAGGUAUGGCAACCAAAAUCCAACAUCUAGUAGACGUCAUUAUGGUAAAGUCCAAUCAACGUCAAGUUAUAACAUCAUUUGAUGUUGAUCUGUAGUUAGUUUUAGGUUGUGGCAUUAACUAACCAAAAUCCAACGUCGAGCCAACGUCUCAAGCCAACGUCACAUUGACAUCAAAAACUUAUGUUUUGUCGUCAGGUAUGGCAACCAUAAUCCAACGUUUUCUAGACGUCAUAAUGGCAACAUCCACACAACGUCAAAUUAAAACAUCAUUUGAUGUUGAUCUGUAGUUAGUUUUAGGUUGUGGCAUUAACUAACCAAAAUCCAACGUCGCGCCAACGUCUCAAGCCAACGUCACAUUGACAUCAAAUACUGAUACUUAGUCGUCAGGUAUGGCAACCAAAAUCCAAUGUCUUCAAGACGCCAUACUGGUAACGUCCAAUCAACGUCCAAUUAUAACGUCAUUUGACUUUGAUCUUUAGUUUGUUUUUAGGUUGUGACAUUAACUAACCUAAACCCAACGUCGAGCCAACGUCUCAGGCCAACGUCACAUUGACAUCAAAUACUGAUGUUU